rnacentral:rRNA from 1 species
AACGAACGCUGGCGGCAGGCUUAACACAUGCAAGUCGAGCGCCCCGCAAGGGGAGCGGCAGACGGGUGAGUAACGCGUGGGAAUCUACCCAGCUCUACGGAAUAACUCAGGGAAACUUGUGCCAAUACCGUAUACGUCCUCCGGGAGAAAGAUUUAUCGGAGCUGGAUGAGCCCGCGUUGGAUUAGCUAGUUGGUGGGGUAAUGGCCCACCAAGGCGACGAUCCAUAGCUGGUCUGAGAGGAUGAUCAGCCACAUUGGGACUGAGACACGGCCCAAACUCCUACGGGAGGUAGCAGUGGGGAAUAUUGGACAAUGGGCGAAAGCCUGAUCCAGCCAUGCCGCGUGAGUGAUGAAGGCCCUAGGGUUGUAAAGCUCUUUCACCGGUGAAGAUAAUGACGGUAACCGGAGAAGAAGCCCCGGCUAACUUCGUGCCAGCAGCCGCAGUAA